rnacentral:rRNA from 1 species
UACGUAGGGGGCAAGCGUUAUCCGGAUUGACUGGGUGUAAAGGGGGCGCAGACGGCGAUGCAAGCCAGGAGUGAAAGCCCGGGGCCCAACCCCGGGACUGCUCUUGGAACUGCGUGGCUGGAGUGCAGGAGGGGCAGGCGGAAUUCCUGGUGUAGCGGUGAAAUGCGUAGAUAUCAGGAGGAACACCGGUGGCGAAGGCGGCCUGCUGGACUGCAACUGACGUUGAGGCCCGAAAGCGUGGGGAGCAAACAGG